rnacentral:rRNA from 1 species
GUGGUUUGUCGCGUUGUUCGUGAAAUCUCACGGCUUAACUGUGAGCGUGCGGGCGAUACGGGCAGACUUGAGUACUGCAGGGGAGACUGGAAUUCCUGGUGUAGCGGUGGAAUGCGCAGAUAUCAGGAGGAACACCGGUGGCGAAGGCGGGUCUCUGGGCAGUAACUGACGCUGAGGAGCGAAAGCGUGGGGAGCGAACAGGAUUAGAUACCCUGGUAGUCCACGCCGUAAACGGUGGGUACUAAGUGUGGGUUUCCUUCCUUGGGAUCCGUGCCGUAGCUAACGCAUUAAGUACCCCGCCUGGGGAGUACGGCCGCAAGGCUAAAACUCAAAGAAAUUGACGGGGGCCCGCACAAGCGGCGGAGCAUGUGGAUUAAUUCGAUGCAACGCGAAGAACCUUACCUGGGUUUGACAUGCACAGGACGCCGGCAGAGAUGUCGGUUCCCUUUUGGCCUGUGUGCAGGUGGUGCAUGGCUGUCGUCAGCUCGUGUCGUGAGAUGUUGGGUUAAGUCCCGCAACGAGCGCAACCCUUGUCUCAUGUUGCCAGCGGGUAAUGCCGGGGACUCGUGAGAGACUGCCGGGGUCAACUCGGAGGAAGGUGGGGAUGACGUCAAGUCAUGAUGCCCCUUAUGUCCAGGGCUUCACACAUGCUACAAUGGCCGGUACAAAGGGCUGCGAUGCCGCGAGGUUAAGCGAAUCCUUUUAAAGCCGGUCUCAGUUCGGAUCGGGGUCUGCAACUCGACCCCGUGAAGUCGGAGUCGCUAGUA